rnacentral:rRNA from 1 species
UACGUAGGGUGCGAGCGUUGUCCGGAAUUACUGGGCGUAGAGAGCUCGUAGGUGGUUUGUCGCGUCGUUUGUGGAAUACCGCAGCUUAACUGCGGGGUUGCAGGCGAUACGGGCAUAACUUGAGUGCUGUAGGGGAGACUGGAAUUCCUGGUGUAGCGGUGGAAUGCGCAGAUAUCAGGAGGAACACCGAUGGCGAAGGCAGGUCUCUGGGCAGUAACUGACGCUGAGGAGCGAAAGCAUGGGGAGCGAACAGGAUUAGAAACCCCAGUAGU